GAAUUUGGUCAUCGACCGAGUUUCAAGUCUGGAGGUAGACCUGCGGGCAUACAUUCAGAUCAUUGGUGGUGGAAUUAAAUGAUAAAAAUUCAUAUUUGUCAAAUAAUUCAAAAUGGACGUAACUGCAGAUAACUGGAUGUCCCAAGCUAUGAGUAAUGUUGAUAGAUAUCUUAAUAGAGGUGGUGAAAGUCAGGGUGAUAAACCUCAAUUACUUAAGGGCACGCAGUUAUUGAAUACAAUAGGAAUAGCAAUGGGUCUGCCCAUUCGAAAUCCAGCUGAUUGGACGCAUGAAGAAUUUGUGCAAGCUGAAAAUGGCAAUCUUUGUUUUUUUGUUGGAACUUCUUUAGAAGCUAUUCAAGCUAUUGUCGAUAUGAUUAUAUAUUGUUGCGAUGGAGAUAGCCAGAACUUCAUCACAGUUUUGCCCGUUGAGCUGUAUUUCCAAGAUAAACUAUACGAAUUGCCAAUAUUUAGAGUUUCACGCUAUAAAGACUCGCAUAGAUAUUAUGUCGACAAUGCAGGACGAUAUUAUAAAAGUUUCGGUGACUGGUACAGUAACAACAAGCUGCCACCAGGAUUGAUGCUGUAUCCAUAUCGAUUGGUAUUGUCAGCAAAAUCAAAUGGCCGUGCCAACUGUUACUAUGCCAAAACUCCAUCCGAUAGAGCUGAUUCAAAAACAGCAAGAGCAGUAGAUACUACAACUGCUGUCGUAGGAAUUGGUUCAAGUGUGGGAUUACUGUUUGCUUCGGGCGGCUUAGCAGCUCCAUUAGUAAUAGCAGGUGUUGCUAGCGCCGCUUGGGGGACAGGCAGAGUCUCCUAUCAGCUUGUGGAUAGAGCAUCACACGGAGAAAAAAUAAAUCCUUUUACGGAUUCACAGUCACGAAUGCUUUGGCUUGGCGUGGCUGCAAAUAUAGCAAGCUUUGGUGCAAUGGGGGCAACAAUGCGACUAUCGUCAAUGGCAGCGCGUGCUAAAGACAUAUCAAGCACGUUUAGACUAGUGACUAACAUUGCGAACGGGACAAACCUUACGCUUAGUACAGCAGCAAUCUUAAACACUACCAUCCAUAUGAUCCUUCAUAAGGAUGAAUUGACUAAAAUGGAUGUACUUUUACAUUUGGCAUCGGUUGCGUUUUGGACCAAAGGGGUGUUUUCAUAUAAAACAUCAGGUACCAUAAUAGGGGACGCACAAAAUCAAGUUUUUAAUCAAAUAUAUGAGAAGAUCCCACCAGAACAACGCAAAGAGUUAGCUCAAGUUCGAGAAGUCGUUCAAAAUGACGUCAGCUUAUUACGACAAUAUUACUCUGCAUCUCAAUCUAAUGUAUCAAUACAAGAAUUUUCAAACUUUUUGGUCGAAGCGAUGCAUUACGGUGACUCAUUACAGUCCUUGAGCCCUGAACAAAUAGAAGCAUUUGCAAGCUUGCGCGGUUAUUUAAGAGAUGAUUUAAAUUUAAUUUCUGGUUUGCAACGAUAUUCCGAAGAGCAUAAUCUGAAUAGGCAAGACACGUUGAACCAAAUACUAAAUAUGUGGAGAGAGAAUAUCAGUAGUAGAAAUGUACAACAGAGUGAUAUAACACUGUCAGCUGGAACAAUAAUAAUGGGCAGGGCUCCGCCGAUUGACAUUCAACGCAUGCCUGAAUUAUCAGCACCCAUGAUUCGAUUUGUCGGACAGCAUUUGAGUCAAAUUGAUACUUCUUCAACAAGUCAGUGGUCGAUUUCUCGCUUAUUGACCCUACAGGGCCAUGGCUUGUUUACUCUUUGUCCGAUAACGGGUAUCGCUCCGACGGGACAUUCUGUAGUAAUAUUAAAUAAUCAUCUACACAUUAGCAUCUAUACACUGAGUACUUUACCGGCAGCGGAUUGUCAGACUAUUUUCCGAAGAAUCGGAGAGUUGCGGAACUGUAAUAGCAGUGAAGAUAUACCAAAGGAUAUUUUAAAUUUGUGUGUACGAGAUAAUCGAUGGCGCUUUGAGGUACACAGAAAUGAAAUGGUUCAGUGGAUGAAUGGAUGUGUGAACGAUCCAUCCCUUGCAAAUCUUACCAGAAUUGUCAAUAGCAACUUGCUGCCACAUGAGAAAGAUCGAUUGUAUACAUUCAAAGCCGAGUGUACUUUGGUUAAAGGAGAUAUAUAUAUGAAUAAAAUGAUGCAAUUCGUGUCCGCAAUGGAACCCAGAAAUAUAAGUGAAAUUGUGGCAUACAGUGAGUUUGUCAUGGUACAUGUUGAAAAGACUAUACCGGCGGUGGAAAAAGAUUUACUUGAAGGUAGAAAGACUUUACCACGAGGCAAAAAGAAAAGCGUUUGGUUUAGAGAGGAAGCUAGCAAAGAGGUAUUCCAAGAUGUCGAUGCUUUAAAACAAAAACUUGAAGAUUUGAAGACGUUAGUUAACAACAAUAAUAUGGUGGGAGUCGAAAUUGUAGAGAAAGGCUUAUCGGAUGAUCGAUUAGUACAAGCUAUACGCAGUAAACAGAUUAAAUUUGGUGGCAAAAUAUCAGCUGCUUACCACAUUUUCAAGCACGCUACCGACCCGCCUUCUGAUUAUGUGAAUCAGGCCAACAGAACGAUGCGAUCUCCUUCCAGCACGUAUACUAUCUCAGUCGGGCAGGAGGGUGACACUAGAUUUAUAUCCUUUUCAGAUGAAAAUGGCAAUUGCUUCGUUUUGGAGAAGGAUGGACGCGUUUUGCUGUGUUCAUUUAGAGCCACUGGGACAAGUUAAAUUUUUUAUGCUUUUAUUAUUCCCUUCUUUUAGUUAGCUACUUGUUUUAUAUGAAUUUAAUUAGUUUCACUAUGUAUGGUUAUUGUAACACAAUACGACACUAUACAUUGAUAUCAGGAACGAUAUCUUUGUAAAACUGUUAGUGUCGAAUUUGUAGGAUACAAUUAUUAAUGAUAUAAUGUCGAUAUAACACUAGGCAAAAAGUAUUACAAAAUACAUGCUCAGGCAGCAUUUGUAAAACGUUUUAUGUUGCAUACCAGCAGUUUUUUAAUUCGACAUCAUAGACUAGCUAGUGGAAGUGGACUUAUAUACAGGUCCCAGAUCGUAACGAAAGCCUGGCAUCGGGGAAAAGGUAUAUGAGUAUAUUUAUUUAUUGCACCAACAAAGUAUACACUAAUUCAUGCAAUAAAUAUAUAUAUAGAGUAUACGAUGAGCCAGUAAAAAAUCAGUGUUCUAUACAGAGUAGUACUCGAGUACCAACCAUUUUAUAGAAAAAUUAAAAAUAUACUACCCGCAGUGGAUGUUUGGGCAUUGUGACUAGAGUUUUGUAUUGUUUGUAGGUUUUAAUGAUGUUACGCCUGGUUGGUUAGCCAAGUUAGUUCAUAAAAUAUACCAAAUCUGUUCAAAACAAGCCGGGCUAAUUCAACAGGGAGAUGUGUAGAACGCUGAUUUUUUUGUACUAGCUCAUCAUAAGAGGAGCUUUCCCCCGAUGUCAGGUUAUCGUCACAUUCUGGGGCAUCCUGUAUAGAUACGGCCAUAAAAUAGCAAUAUUUAGUGGUAUAUUGGUAGUAUGCCGUAUUUACUCUAUAACUUACAUUGUUUAUAAUAUUAUAACGCCAGGCUUAGCCAAGAAUUUGUUUCAUGAUUCACAGCUAAAAUAAUUUUGGUUCUGGGUUCUAAAAUAAUUGCUAAUUCUCACUCUGUCUUCUUCUAUUGACCUAAGUCAGAAUGAGAAAAAACACUCCUAAGCGGCUGUUUAAAGCUAGCGGACCAUUAUGAACAAGGGGGUUAGUUUCAUACAAUCCUAAAUUAAAAAGAGCAAGACGCAGAUUAUGCAUAAAGCGCGUUAUUGAUUAAAAAUAUAUAAUCUAACUAGUUGUAUUGCCAUAUAAAGUAAUAAAAAAAAUAGUUAAAAUUUUUGGGGUAUAAAAAAUAGAUAACGAUCGAUUCUUAAACCUACCAAAUAUAUCAUAGAUACAUAAAAUUUAUCGUACUACAAUUAUUGCAUUCGAUUGCCAUCUUGCAAACCCAUUGCGGAUCUGUGCAUGGAAUAGAAUAAUAUAAAAAUCGCGAUAUAAAAUAGUUGUAGAUCGUAGAAGGGCGAAAAUUCGAAGUUGUACGUAUUUUUCAAUGCUGAAUCAUAAUAAAAUAAAUAUAUUUAGGGGUGGGUCACCCUUAUCAUUUAGGGGUAUGUAAAAUAGGUGUUGGCCGAUUCUGAGACCUCCCCGUACAUAAUUCUUCAUGUUAUGAAAUAUUUUUGAAAAUUCAUGAAAAACAGUAUUUAUUUAACGUCUGUCGGGUCAGCUAGUAUACUGAACGUAGUGUUUAAAUUCUCUUUGUAGUGUACCUUUAAAAUUCUCGUGUCACUGUAUUAGUUGCCAAACUCCUCGAAUUUUAUAAGUAUAUUCCGUAGGUCCAUAGAGCGUAGGUCUGAGCAUCUGUUGUAGAUUAUUUUUGAUUUUUUUUAUUGCCUUUUUUUUAUUAAUUUAUAUGGUAAUAGAAAGUUUGCCGGGUCAGCUAGUACUUAAAUAUUACUUGUAAGGGUAAAAACUUGCAUUAAUUUUAUAUGCACGUAAAUAGUUAAUAAUAUCUUAUAUCAGUCUUUAAAGUGGAAAGUAAUAAAGAAAGUUCUGUGGAGAAGGAUGAGGCUACCUUUUCAUAUACAUACUAGUUAAGCCUUUCCUUUGAACACGCCUUAUUUCAUUUCUAUGUGCGUUUAUUUUACUACGUGCCACUAUUUUUUUGUAACGGCCAAGGUUAUAAUUAAGUUCGUUAUAAAUUUAUAUUUUUAUAUGCAUUAAAUAUUAGAGUUAAUAAACGAUCUUUUACUUGACAUUCACAAUAUCAUUUUAUUUAGAAUGUACGUAAUACGUAUUAUAACAUUAUAAUAGUAUGAAAUUGCCGUUUUUUGAAAGAAGGAAAGGAAUUUAACUAAAAGUAAAAUAAGGAGGGUACCGGCUCUACCAGAGUCGGAGAAUCCCUCCCCGAGCACUCUAGCCCGGGCUGCCCUUGUAUUCUGGGGAGGGCACAGAACCGCGCAUGGUCAAGGACAAACGAGGCAGUAACACCACGGCUCCCCGCUCCACACUCAACGUGGACUUUUGCAAUAUGAGGGGAAUUCACUCUAAUUUAAACGCCGUCCACCACCUUGAGACGGCGCAGCCGGCCUUGUGUUUCGGAGUGUUACGGAGACGCAGAUAUCUCGACCUAGCGAUACGUCAUAUUUAACGUACCCCGGGUACAAAAUUGAGCACAAUUUUUUGCCUCAUGCCGGGGUAUAUGUGUACGUUAGGGAGGAUAUCUGCUGUCGCCGUCUCGGCAAUUUUGAGGAUAGGGACCUGUCCACUCUCUGAGGACGCAGUCCUCUAAAUCUAUGCGGAGCUCUGGCUCCGAUUUAGAGGACUGCGUCCGCAUCUAUGCGUGUGUCUACAGGUCCCAUAGUGAUAAUCAGAAACCGAUCAUCUCAUGGGCUGCGUAUAAGCGGCAAUUGACGACGUGCUUGCAAAGAUCCCCUCCGCUGAAAUCGUAGUCUUGGGUGAUUUCAACGGGCACAAUGCCGAAUGGCUUGGAUAACGUACCACAGACUACGCAGGGCGAUCUGUGCAUCAUUUUGCAUUGGCGUAUGGUCUGUCCCAAUUGGUUGAGUCGCCAACGCGGCUCCCGGAUGUGGAUAGCCACAUGCCGUCCUUAUUGGAUCUUCUGCUGACUACACAUCCCGAUGGUUACCAGGUCUUUGUCGACGCCCCUCUCGUAACGUCCGACCAUUGCCUGGUCAGCCAGACCACCAGCGACCCACCGCGUUUGGUACUACAAGUCAGCAGAUUGGGAUAGGAUGCGUUCCUUUUUUGCAUCCUACCUUUGGAGCAGGGUUUGUUUCCCUUAGGAUGAUCCUAGUGCCUGCGCCGUUGCAGUAGCCGAUGUGAU